rnacentral:rRNA from 1 species
UACGUAGGGGCUAGCGUUAUCCGGAAUUACUGGGCGUAAAGGGUGCGUAGGUGGUUUCUUAAGUCAGAGGUGAAAGGCUACGGCUCAACCGUAGUAAGCCUUUGAAACUGAGAAACUUGAGUGCAGGAGAGGAGAGUAGAAUUCCUAGUGUAGCGGUGAAAUGCGUAGAUAUUAGAAAAAUACCAGUUGCGAAGGCGGCUCUCUGGACUGUAACUGACACUGAGGCACGAAAGCGUGGGGAGCAAACAGGAUUAGAUACCCUGGUAGUCCCUGAG